UUUACAGAAUUGGACAAGAUAAUCUACGCAGAUUAUGGUGGCCCUGUUGCUUUAAAGUUAAAGGAGGUGGAAGACUUUGGAUGAUAUUGAGUUAGAGAUAAACAAGGAAAACUAUGAUUUCUAUGGAAUUUAAAGCAGCAUUAAAAAAUUAUGUGGCAUUUAUGAUAAAAAAAACUUUAAAAUGAAAUAUAGGUCAGGAACUGAAAUGUGAUUUAGGAUUUGUUGACUUUAAUAUAAUAACAGAUUUCAAGUCUUGAUGGUUGGAGUUUGAUUAUCUGAGGAACUUUUAGCCAGUUUAAUUUUCCUGUGUUCUUUUUUAUAAAGCUUGUAGCUGCGCAGUCCUGACUUAGGAAUUUGCUUCAAUAUUUGGCAAAUAUUUUAUUUCAAAGUCAUUAUUUUGGAUUUCCAUCCAUUUUUUAUUGUUCUGUAUCAUCUCAGGCACAUGUAGAUACCAACGUAUUUGCAUUAAAGCUGGUGUAAAUCCCUUUUUGAGAACCACCCAUAUCAGGUGUUGUGACAAAAUGGUGUCACUUUACCUUGCCCUUAAAUGUUCCAUAUACUAAACGUUAGCAUGGGGCAUAACUAAAAGACAAACAAAUUCUAAUGAUUUUCUGAUAAUUAUUUAAUGAGUUGUUUACGCUUAAUCAUAUUUUAGUGUAUUAUAAAUGUUUCACUACCGACAAUAGAAAAAAUAUGCGACAACACUUGUUGACU